rnacentral:rRNA from 1 species
CUUGCUAAGUUUGAUGGCGACCGGCGCACGGGUGAGUAACACGUAUCCAACCUGCCGAUGACUCGGGGAUAGCCUUUCGAAAGAAAGAUUAAUACCCGAUGGCAUAGUUCUUCCGCAUGGUAGAACUAUUAAAGAAUUUCGGUCAUCGAUGGGGAUGCGUUCCAUUAGGUUGUUGGCGGGGUAACGGCCCACCAAGCCUUCGAUGGAUAGGGGUUCUGAGAGGAAGGUCCCCCACAUUGGAACUGAGACACGGUCCAAACUCCUACGGGAGGCAGAUG